GAAAUGCGAUAAGUAAUGUGAAUUGCAGAAUUCAGUGAAUCAUCGAAUCUUUGAACGCACCUUGCGCUCCUUGGUAUUCCUUGGAGCAUGCCUGUUUGAGUAUCAUGAAAUCUUCAAAGUAAAUCUUUUGUUAACUCAAUUGGUUUCUACUUUGGUAUUGGAGGUCUUUGCAGCUUCACACCUGCUCCUCUUUGUUCAUUAGCUGGAUCUCAGUGUUAUGCUUGGUUCCACUCGGCGUGAUAAGUUAUCUAUCGCUGAGGACACUGUAAAAGGUGGUCAAGGUAAAUGCAGAUGAACCGCUUCUAAUAGUCCAUUGACUUGGACAAUACCUUUAUGAUCUGAUCUCAAAUCAGGUAGGACUACCCGCUGAACUUAAGC
rnacentral:misc_RNA from 1 species